AGGAAUUUAGGUUAACUCAGACCAAGGACCUUCAAAGUCCUAAGCAAGUACCCAAUACUUAAUUCCUG
rnacentral:tRNA from 1 species